CGCAAAAAAAAAAAGGCUUUUUUCUAAUAGUAACUGUUUUAGGAUUUGAUAUUCAUAAUACAGCCCCAUCUUGGUUUUUGUUAUUUUAAAUCACCCAAACUCAAACAAGUAUGUCAGGUUUGAAAAUUUCUCAAUUUCUCCAUUUUGCAUCUUAUGGGCCAACCUGCUAUUGAUAUUAGAAAAUGUGCAAACUUUACCAUUCAUCAGAAGUCCCACUCAUCUUGUGGGCCUCUAGAAAGGAUGAAGAAGAAGAUAAGGAGAAAAGAGAGUGCAAGUCUCUCUUUAAAAAUUUGAAGUUCUUCUUGAGUCCUGAGUUACUAGCAGAUUGUCUGAAAAGAAUCCAACAUAUGUUUUACCUGUACUUUGUCGCCAUCUCAUACAAUUGUUAAUGCAUCUUGAGCAAAGGUAAUCUGAAAGAUAUCUACUUACCAAUAAUAUUAUUGAUUUAUGGGGCAAUAGAUGCCCUCUUUUUCAUAUUCAGAGUUGGUAGUGGUGUCAUACAGAGGUUUUGGGAAGAUUUGUGGUGUGAGGAGUGCUUGCUGAGAGUUUUGGAGAUCUUUAUGUUGGUUCAUCACAAAAAGGAGGCUUCGGUGAGCUAGUUGUUUCAGUAUGUUCGCAAUAAUAUUGUGUGGAAUGUCACCUUUCGAAGGAAUCUGAAAGACGAUGAAAUCUUUUAUAUACUCACCUUUUCUCCUAUUUUCAAUCUGUUUAAAUUCCACUUACAAGUUCUGGCUGCAAAAUUUUUACUCUCAGCUCCUAAGGCAAAUUCUCUGCAAAAUCUCUUGUUGUAGCUCUUAGUAGGGGGUUGGACGGAAGGAAUUUGUAUUCUCAAGGAUUUGGAAGGGUGUGCUUCCUUUAAAGGUGAAGGCUUUAGCCUGGUUAGCUGCUGCAGGAAAAUUUUGAACAUGGAUAACUUUCAAAGGUGUGGUUUAAGCGCUUCAGACAGGUGUGUUUUAUGCUAUAAAGCUGAAGAAUCCAUUAAUCACAUUUUUUUGCAUUGUCUGGUGGCUGGGA